rnacentral:rRNA from 1 species
AUUGAACGCUGGCGGCAGGCCUAACACAUGCAAGUCGAACGGUAACAGAAAGCAGCUUGCUGCUUUGCUGACGAGUGGCGGACGGGUGAGUAAUGUCUGGGAAACUGCCUGAUGGAGGGGGAUAACUACUGGAAACGGUAGCUAAUACCGCAUAACGUCGCAAGACCAAAGAGGGGGACCUUCGGGCCUCUUGCCAUCGGAUGUGCCCAGAUGGGAUUAGCUAGUAGGUGGGGUAACGGCUCACCUAGGCGACAAUCCCUAGCUGGUCUGAGAGGAUGACCAGCCACACUGGAACUGAGACACGGUCCAGACUCCUACGGGAGGCAGCAGUGGGGAAUAUUGCACAAUGGGCGCAAGCCUGAUGCAGCCAUGCCGCGUGUAUGAAGAAGGCCUUCGGGUUGUAAAGUACUUUCAGCGGGGAGGAAGGGAGUAAAGUUAAUACCUUUGCUCAUUGACGUUACCCGCAGAAGAAGCACCGGCUAACUCCGUG